UGGUUUUGCCUGCGCCACCCAUCCCGGUGAUGGCUACAACCUGUCGACGCCUCUCCGGGUGAAGCAACCUCUCCGCUAUAAGAUCAGCAUCAUGUUUGAAACCAACAACCACAUCAUCACCAAGGUCUGCAAAUGACCGUCUCCGUGGAUGCAAAUGACCUUGAUAUGCAGCUGUACUACUGCUGCUUCCUUCACCUCUUUGCUCGUGCAAUUGAGGUACAAAUAUAGUUCUACGUUGGAUGAUCUCAUAGAUCUUGGAUUUUAACUGUUUGAUACCUUUAGCAUCAGAUAACGUAGUGGUAAGAGCGUACCUCUUCUCGAGUGUAUCGGUAUAGGCAUCGAUCAAGUCCUCUGCUUCAUAUGCUACGUCUCUAACGGAGCUCAACCAAUUCUUCGUGCCAGCAUCUUGUCUCUGCUUGUAGUCCAUCUUGAUGAGGCACAUAUUGAGCGCCUGUAGAUCUUGUUUCAGUGAUUCAACAUCGCCUUUAACCUCCCCAAGUAGAGAAAUUGCUUCACCGAUUUUCUUUACUACGUAGGAAAUUACGGCUUCUUCGAACAUCUCUCUCCUUCUCUUCUUCUUCUCUUCUUCUUCUCUCUCUCUAGAUCUCUCUCUCUCGCAGCCGAGUCGGGGGAUGAGACAGGAAUGAGGCUCUGUGAAACUGGAUGUAAUAGUCUCUGAUUGCCUAAUUGUACCAUUAUCAUCCAACAAUAUAUUAAUAUCUAUGAAACCAAAUUGACAUCUCCAACAAGAUUUACUUAUUCACACUCAUCAAGAUCUGUUUCUUCAUACCACAAGUGUGGAACAGUUCACAAGUUCCAUAAAAACUAAUGCAUACAGGAGAGAUUAAGCGAUUAACAAAUAGAAUUUUCAACCACAAUUCACAGAAUCACAAAAUAAUCUCUUUUCGAAACUAGAAUUCACAAAAUCAGAGACCAAUUCCAAAACACUGUUUACCCCAAAAAACAACAAAACAACAAAACAAAAAAAAAAAAGGCAAGAACAAUAACAGGAACCAAUUACAAAAGCAGAAUAUUAUGAAUUGCACAAAAAAUGCACAUAAUCCCUGUAUUUACAAGAACUACCUACAAAAAUCCGAAAAUAAAAAAAAAAACUCGAAACUUCUUCGUUCCGAUCACUCCAUCAACAGAAAUUUACAAGAAAAAAAAAACACAAAAAAGAAAAACCCUAAGAAAGGGAUGGGAAAAUGGGAAGCUACGGAUCAAACCAAAAAAGGGAAAAAUGCGAGAAGAAAGGAAGGAAUUAAACUAGGAGAUCACAUGAGAGAAGACGAUUACUCACCUAGGGUUUUCGAGAGGUUCGAUUAUCGGGAGAUGUAGGCGAGAGAUAUCUCCGCCAUUUUCGCAGAGACGAAGCGGAGCGAGAGAGAGAGAGAGAGAGAGAGAGAGAGAGAGAGAGGGGGAAACGGCGCGGUGCUUCAGAGAGCGGGAGAGCGGGGUUGGUCGAAGAAGAGUAAAUUGCACACUACUCCCCGGACUUUUUAGCGCUAUCACAUUGUAGUCCUCAAACUUUUAGAAACGUUUAAAUCUAAUUUACAAUUAGAUUUAGUGAAUUUACGGAGCAACAUCAACAUCUCUUUAAUUGAUAACAUCACUCGAAAAUUAGCUCGAACGGAUAAUAGUUACGUGUUAAAGAUAUGCCUUUUUUUAUUGAUUUGAUUUAUACACCGGAUCUUUGAAAAAAUAAAAAUAAUCUUAUUAUGAUUUAAUUUUUGAUAGAUUCUAAUUUAAAUUAGAAUUCUAACUGAAUUAGGAUUGAUUUCUAUAUAAAACUCUAUAUUCAAUGAUCACAUUGAAUUAGAAUAGGAUUGAACCAAAUCCCUCUCUCUAUAUAUAUACAUGCAUAUGCAUGUACGGCUUGACCAAUUAGUUAGAGAAACUAAUUAUAAAGGUGGCCGGUUCCAAAGAGGGCAUGUACAGGUUGGGUGCAUAGAGGCAAAUUAAUUAGUAUCCGGUGCAUAGCUAAUUAAUUAAGGCUCCGUCGUACGGUAGCAAGAGAAGGGAGGUUGCUCGCAUGCGACAGAUUGAAGUCGGCGGCGGAGCAACGGUUCUCAACCAAAUUAUCUGAGCGGUUCGGAUUCUUCGAAGCAACGGAAUUUGGUUAGGAUUUCUACACUUCUCUAAUUUGGUCUUCUCAAAUUUACGAAAAAAAUUUUCGGUAUUUUUUUUAGAGUUUUCGUUUGAACAAGAGAACGGUGGAAUCCACCAUACGGCUCUUGAUUUUUAUUCGGAUAAGAUAUAAAGUGUAAGCCUGUACUUCAAUUUCUUCAUAUAGUGGAAUACAUCUCUCUCGCUCUCUCCGUGGACGUAGAAAAUUGCCGAACCACGUAAAUCUUGAUUUCUUCUUUCUGUAUUUAUUUUUUUUACCGUUCGGUUGAUUUUCUCUAUUUUUCGUGCAUCUUUGUUGGUAACGCAUGCCGAACCUCUCGAAAACCCUAGGUGAGUAAUCGUCUUCUCUCAGGUGAUCUCCUGAUUUAAACGUUCCUAAAAGUUCGAGGACUAUAAUGUGAUAUCGCUAAAAGUCCGGGGAGUAGUGUGCAAUCUCUCUCUCUCUCUCUCUCUCUCUCUCUCUGCUUCGUCUCUGCGAAAAUGGCGGAGAUAUCUCUCGCCUACAUCUCCCGAUAAUCGAACCUCUCGAAAACCCUAGGCGAGUAAUCGUCUUCUCUCAGGUGAUCUCCUGUUAUAUACCGGAUGAUUUGGGGGUGAGUUUGUGAAAGAGAAGGAGAGGUAGAGAAACAGAGAGAGAUAGGGAGAGAGAUUGGGAGGAAGAGAAUAGGGUUUUAGAAAAAUUAGAAUAGGGUUUUGGGGAAUGAGAAAAAGCGGAUAAUUGGGAAAGAUGACAAGCUAAUUCAUAAGCAAACUAAGCUACUAAGGGUUAACAGCAAUUUGUCAAAAAUGGGGGGGUUAACAGCAAUUUGUCAAAAAUGGGGAAUGAGGCCUGAUGGGUUGAAUCCGGUUGCCUUGUGGGCCUCGGGUGGGCUUGUUUGGUCCAAGCCGCCUGGGAGGCGGGCAAACGGACUCGGGUCCGCCCUUCUCUGUACUACCCGCAAACCUGCGGGUUUUGGGUUCGCCAUUUCGCCCCGAUCCGAUCUCCUGGUUCGCCCGACCCGUGCGUAACGGUAAGUGGGCGUCGGUUCCUGCCUUCUCCGCAUCAUCCGCAAUCCGGCGGGUCUUGGGUUCGCCUUUUCCAUCCGACCCGGAAUGGGAUCUCCCGCUACCCGCUAUCGAGGUGUUCGUCUUCCUCCGCUCUCCUCCUCCGCUCUCCAGAUCUGCAGGGUCCUCCGCCCACCGACCUCGAUCCUCCCUCUUCUCCUUCAGAGCACCCGCCCACCUACCUCGAUCCUCCCUCUUCUCCUUCAGAGCACCCAGGAUGCUCUAGCUCCGCCGGAGUUCCACCCGAGCUCGCACCCACCUUGCUGCUACCAUUUAUCCUCUUCUACUGUAAAGUUGCUAUUUUUACUAUUCUCCCAUGCUAACUUCUGCUACUACUACUACUUUUACCAUUUAUUCUUCAGGGUCAUUACAUCUCUUAGUUUAAUUCCUCCCUUUCUUCUCGCUUUUUUCCCUUUUUUGGUUUGAUCCGUAGCUUCCCAUUUUCCCAUCCCUUUCUUAGGGUUUUUCUUUUUUGUGUUUUUUUUUUUCUUGUAAAUUUCUGUUGAUGGAGUGAUCGGAACAAAGAAGUUUCGAGUUUUUUUUUUUUAUUUUCGGAUUUUUGUAGGUGGUUCUUGUAAAUACAGGGAUUAUGUGCAUUUUUUGUGCAAUUCAUAAUAUUCUGCUUUUGUAAUUGGUUCCUGUUAUUGUUCUUGCCUUUUUUUUUUUUAGGCUCGAAAUCCCCCGACUCGGCUGCGAGAGAGAGAUGAGAAGGAGAUCAGAGAUGUCGGAAGAUGCUUUAAUUUCCUACAUACUGAACAAAAUUGACGACCUAUUCACCAAAGAAAUUUCUCUAAUUUGGAAGGUGGCAGACGAUGUUGAAUGGCUGAAACAAGAACUGCAGGCACUGGUGAUCUUUCUCAACAACAUGGACUAUAAGCAGAGACGGGAUGCGGCAACGAAGAUUUGGCUGAGCUCCGUUAGAGACGUAGCAUAUGAAGCAGACGACUUGAUCGAUGCCUAUACCAAUACGCUCGAGAAGAGGUACGCUCCUGCCACUAGGAUAUUUCAUUCUAAUACACUGCAGAAAGAUAUCAAACAGUUAAAAUCCAAGAUCUGUGAGAUAACUAUAUACGUACCUAAAUUGCACGAGCAAAGAGGCAAAGGAAGCAGCACUAGUACAGCUGCAGAUCAAGGUCAUUUGCAUCCAUGGAGACGGUCAUUUGCAGACCUUGGUGAUGAUGUGGUUGUCGGUUUCGAACAUGAUGCUGAUCUUAUAGUGGAGAGGUUGCUUCACUCGGAGGGGCGUCGACAGGUUGUAGCCAUCACCGGGAUGGGUGGUGCAGGCAAAACCACUCUUGCGGCUGUGGUUUAUAAAUUAUUUUCUAAAGCUCCCGUACGCGGUCAUGCCCAUUUUGCCCAGCUUAAAGAAGCGAACUCCGGAGGUGAGCUUCAAAACCACUUUGAUGCUUGUGCUUGGGUGCCUGUUCAUCAAGAUCCCAACAUUAUGGACCUUUUGUUGAUCAUGAUUGACCAACUAGGCUUAAGCGAAUAUGUGGAAGCUAAGGAAUAUGUAAUUUAUCAUGCGAGGAGCUAGGGGGUCCAGUUCUUAACGGAGAAGCUAUAUUCGUUUUUGGAGCAGAGGAGAUACCUAAUAGUGUUGGAUGAUAUUUGGAGGAAAGAAGUAUGGGAUCAAUUAAAAGCAACUCUUCCAAAUUCGAGCAAUGGAAGUAGAAUAAUAGUAACAACUCGAUUCAAGGAUGCUGCCAUUUAUCAUGACCCAGGAUCUGAACCCUACGAAAUGAGGCCCUUAAAUGAGGAUGAUAGUUGGCGACUUUUCCUUACAAAAGUUUUUCCACAAGACCAACCUACAUGCCCAAGAGAACUAGAGGACUUGGGUCGUCAGCUCUGUAGGAAAUGUGCUGGUUUGCCUCUUGCUCUGGUGGUACUGGGAGGUCUUGAUUUGAUAAAAUAGAAGCAUCUAUCGCUGUGGUCGAAAUUACCUGAUAGUAUGAACUGGGAUUUGACGGAUAAUGGGAAACAAUGCUUAGAAAUCCUUGCUUUGAGCUACUACGACUUGCCUUACAACAUGAAAUUUUGUUUUCUUUACUUGGGAGCUUUCCCACAAGGUUCUGAAAUCAGUGCCUCAAAAUUGACGAAGUUGUGGAUCGGAGACGAACUAAUACCAAAAGAAGGUAUAACACUAGAGGGUACUGCAACCAAAUACUUAGAGGAGUUGACACAAAGGUGCCUGGUUGAAAUAGUGAAGUGAGGACUUGAUAUGAGUAUAAAAAAAGUAAGAGUCCAUGACCUCUUGGGUGAGCUAGCAAGGUCAGAAGCAAGAGAGAGUCGAUUCCUUCAGGUAGAAACUAUAACUAGUAUUGAAGAAGAGUCAAAGCCCCAAGAGAUAGCUGCUUGUCGUAUGGUGCUCCAUCAAAGCUUCAGUGUAUUAACAGGAAUUUUGGAUGAAAAAUUAAGAGCUCUUUUAGCUUUCCCCACAGGCAGAAUCACUCAAAUCUCUAGGUACAACAGGAAAAGAUUGUUCCAUAACUGUUCAAUAUAUUACUUCAAGUUUUUUCUAAACAUUAAUCGGACUGAUAAAAGAAUGGAAUUCCUCAGAGUGCUCGAACUUGAUGGAUUUACAAAAAACAACAUUCCUGAACCUCAUAUUAAUGAUAUGACUAGAUUAAGAUACUUGGGAUUGAGAGAUACCAAUUUUGCGAUGUUACCAAUUUCUGGAGGGAUCCCUCCACAUCUGCAAACUCUAGAUAUAAGAGGUACAUCUAUCACAGAGUUGCCAUCUGAAGUUUGGACGCUUACAAAGCUUCGCCACUUAUACUUGAGCUCAGUGCGUUUGCUGAACUCACAAGCAUUGAGGUCUGGCAUACCACUGCAUAAUCUUCAAACCCUUAAAAUCGAUGAUUAUUAUCAAAACAACAGGAAUAGCCAAUUGGUUGGGCGUCUUAAGUUGUUAAGUAGUCUGAACACUCUAACAUUACGAGCCAACGAGAUCCCUCAAAAGGUUUUUACAGCAACAUCAACUCAUGCAAAGUUACAUAAGUUGAAGUUAGAUGGAACAUUGCAGCCCGAUGAACUCUGCGGUAUCGAAAAUUUCGCACCUAACAUCACCGAGCUCACAUUGUCUCGCUCAAACUUGCAAGGAGAGCCAACUCAAACACUAGGGCAACUAAAAAACCUCAGGAUUCUCAAAUUGAGAGACGAUGCUUGCCAAUGUGAGAAUAUUUCUUGUUCUCCAGGCAGCUUCCCAAAUUUAUCUUACCUUGAGCUCAGCAACCUAUGUCAUCUACCACUGCUCAACAUUGAGCCCGGAUCCUUUCCAAAUCUUAUGCACUUGUCUAUCCAUCGUUGCGACAAUCUGCAUGCGGUUCCGAAUGGUCUGAAUCACAUCACCACCUUACAAGUUCUAGAAUGUAAAGAGAUGCCCUCUAGUUUCGUGAAGGAGAUUAAUGACUGGCGCAGGACGAAUCCUGCUGUGAGAGUCAUCAUCCCAGACCGCCAGCCACCGCAAGAUCUUUCGCCAACAGCCUAAACAUAUCGGUAAUUUGUCUUCCUACCUUUCUGUCCUCUUUCUCUUCUUCUGAAAGCUGCAGUUAAAAGCAACUUGUAGGUUGAAAACCAGCUAUUUAUCAUAUGUCAAAUCCUGCUCUCUUAUUGUACUCUUAUUGUAUAAACUUAGUUGGGCAUAUAUUGCAUGAAUUGUGGGGAUCACCAUAUACUCUUUCAGAUUCUGGUUUAAGCUGAAGUGCUAAACCUAAAUUCAGAUCUGACAAUCUAUAUUUGAUCAUAUUACUAUUAUUGUAGAUAGACAACAUAUUGAUAUACAAACUCUGCUAUUUUGUGGAAUCUUAAUUGCUUGUUCUAUGUAAUUCAAUGAUAUAUUAUGAAUCUACUAACUUCCAACUAUAUUAGUAAUGGUUACAAUUUGAUACAUAUGUCCUAUAUUAAAUACUAAUUCUUUCCUAUGCUGAAUAAUAUUUUCAGGAUCAAAACAUUUCUGUUCAAAUCUGACCAUAAUUGGAUGAGUUUUCUGGCGUAACUAUUAAUUUACUACAGUGAUAUGCAAAAUUUUGUACAUAAAAAAAAAAUCUUAAUUGUACCAUUAUCAUCCAACUAUAUAUUAAAAUCUAUGAAAACAAAUUGAAAUCUCCAACAAGGUUUGCGUAUUCACACUCAAUCGAGAUCUGUUUCUUCUUAUCACAAUUGUGGAACAGUUCAUAAGUUCCAUAAAAACUAAUGCAUAAGAGAGAGAUUUAAGCUGAUUAACAAAUAAAAUUUUCAACCAUAAUUCACAAAAUCACAAAAUAAUCUCCCUUCAAAACUAGAAUUCACAAAAUCACAAAAUCAGAGACCAAUUCCAAAACGUUUUCUCCAAAAAAAAAAAAAAACAAAACGAAAAAAGGCAAGAAAAAGAACAGGAGAGCAGAUUAUUAUGAACAAGUGGAGGCCCGCGCUUCGCGGCGGGAAAUUUAUAUUCCUAAAAUUUGAAAUUUACAAUAAAAUAUUAAUUUUAAAAAGAUAUUUUAUCUUAAUUUAGUUAGUAUACUUUGAAUAUAUAAUUUUAUACAGAGUUUUGUUGAAUACAAAUUGUCAUGGAUAAUUAAGGAUUUGAAACUGCCGUGAUGGGAAAUGAAAAUAUCUUUGAUAUUAUUUUACUUUUUUCACUGAUUUUUGGCUGAGACUAAAAGGUAGAGUCAUGAAACAGAGUAAAACUUAAUCUUGUUUACUUGUCUACCACUUCAGAGACAAAAAGCUUAGGCAUUUAACUAUGAUUGGUUAUUGCAAAAAUUGUUCGGAUAUAGAGUUGGAUCUUGUCCAUGGGCAGAGCUAGAGAAUGCUCUCUUGUUUAAUGAUGUGGAGGUUGAAAGCAUCUGACCCACAUGUUAAGGAUGGAAUUUAUUGAGGAUAAUUUUUAGCCCUUGUUUUGCCUGAUCUUUAUAUAGUUUCUCUACUCCAAGCAGCAUCCGGAAAAAAAUUAAAUUAAAUGUCCAAAGUUUGUGCUCCAGGAAAAGUUAAAAUGAGCCUGAAAAAAUCAGAAGCAAAAUAUCUAGUUUAAAAAGCUGUUGUGUCUGUCGCAGCAAAAAAAAAAAAAAUCAUUAGAAUCUGAGCAAAACAAACUAAUCGUAUUGUUUUGAACACGCCCGCAAACCUGUGCCCUAAAAACCCUACAAAGAUACUCUAUAUUAUGAUGAUGAAUUUCCAGUUGAAAGGGUCACUUUAAGUGGUGAUGAGUAUCUUUACAUGUGUAUUGGCAAUUUGAAUCAUUCUCUUAAGAAUUGAGUGUUAUGUUAAUAGUUGGUCUUAAUUAGUAGUUUGUCAAUAAUUUUUUCGAGUCUCAUAUUUGGGACUUGUAUCUUUCAUCUUUUCCUUUUAUUCUAAGCUAGAAUCUGAGAUUGUGUUGUGUUACUGGCAUCGUUAAUCCUGUAAUUCUCUACAAUGUUUUUCUUUUCUCUAUUAUGUAAAUAAAAUUUACUCUGCUCAUAAUAUCUUAGUCUUUCUCAAGGUUCCCAUGAUACAUAAAGCUGUAAAAAUUUUACAUUGCUAAAUUCCAGUGCUCUUAAGCUGUGGCUUUAUUUAAAGCCCAUUUGGUAUAUGUUUACAUAGUGUAGCUGGGCUUUUAGAAGUGAACGCUAACCAUGAAAAUUGCCAAUACACAUGAACCUUACUUCGACCCUCUCCAAUAAUUCAAUGUGGACCUCAGCAAUAAUUCAAAUUGCCAAUACACAUGUAAAGAUACUCAUUUCUAGCCUUAGCUAGAUGAGUAGAGCUGGAUAAUCCAGUUGAUCCCAGGCAAAACAAAUAAUGCACUAAACCUAUAGUUUCAAUAAUGGACUAAACCUAUAGUUUCUGUCUUAAUUUGUAAAAGGCAUAUGUUCAAUUAAUUGUCCUUGUUUUAUGCUUCUUCUGCUUGUGAUCAAUAGUUUUCAGAUUCCUUGUUUUAUGCACUAAACCUAUAGCUAAUUGAUCUUUUAUCUACAAGAUCCACUAUUCUUUGAGCAUAUUUGUUAUUCCUAGGUAUUUUACAUCAUGCUUUUGAAUAUGCUAGAAAAGUAUUUGCUUUAGUUAAUUUGAACAGAUGAAUAAGUUAAUUCUUUGAUACUAGCAAAAAAAUUGAGUUAACUGCUUUUUAAUUUAGUUUGACUGAAUUUUUUUUUUUUCUAUUUGCUUUAUUUUAGUUGUGUUGAAGAUGGAUCUAACUUCAAAUGAAUUCUUGCCCGGCAACUGAUGCAAUUCGAAAGGAAAAGUUGUUUGAAGAGCUUUUGAAAGUUGAGGGACUCGUCGAUGAGGAUCGUAUGGUUGCUUACGAUAUCUUAACAUCUGAUACAACCAAACUAACUGGAUUUUACGGAAUUCCGGCAGAGUUUAGAAAGGAAUAUAUUGAGUAUAUUCUAACUACAUGUAGAUAAAGUUGUUUUAUAUUUUGCAAUGACUAGAGAAUAUCAAACUUUGGUAUUUUGUUUAUGUUUUCAAUGUCUAUGAAGCGUUGAACUUAUUUGUUGUUUACUUUCUAUGAUAGAUGUUGCUUUCUUGUUUGGACUUGUUAUGAAUAUUUGAUGUUGCUUAAAAAUUUUUAUUUUUGAACAAUUGUCUUUAUUGAUGAUGAUGCUAUUACUGUUUCAAUAUUAUAAUUUUUGAGCUUGUUUGAAAAUUAUGAUGCAAAUUUUGUAGUUAAUUUGCAAUAAAUAUAUCGAAUUUGUUUGAACUGGUUAGUUUUAAUUUUAUAUUACUACUAACAUUACUAGCUAAUAAAACAAACACAUUAAUCUAUCUUUAUGGUAAUCUCAGAUAAUAUGACUGCGCGAACCAAAUACAUUAAUCUAUCUUUCUGGUAAUCUCAGAUGAUAUGACUGUGCGAACCAAACAUCGAAAUGCUAUAUUCUUAGUAAUAAGAUGAGUGGGAAUCAAAUUCUUGGGUAUCCUUUUACUUCUAGUAAUCUAUCAUAGCGCGAACCAAACGCGCCCUUAUAUGCAUCUAAUAACUUGCUAUGCUUUUGAUUUUUUAUUAUAAAUUCAGCUAGGUAAUUCAAAAUUCCAUGAUAUUCUGAACAUUAUUGAUUCGGCAGUAAAGUCAAUUUGGAUUGCAACGGUAAAAUUUGAAUCUUUUUGUAUGUAUCAAAUAUUUUGAUAUAAAACGUUUGUGUAUGAUGUGGAAAAGAUAUGAUUUUAUAUACUUUUAUAUGCAUCGAAUAUCUCGCUGUAAUUUUAUUUUAUUAUUAUGAAUUCAGGUAGGUAAUUUGAAAUUUCAUGGUAUUCUGAACAUUAUUGAUUUGGUACUGAAGGUUCUUGCAUGAGAACCCACGUAUAUAUCAAAUAUUUUGAGAUAGUUAAGCUGCGUUGUUGAGAGUAAGGAAUUACACAGGAAGGUCUUUGUUGGCAAAGAAUUUGUAUAUGAUGGGAAAAAGAUGUUAUUAAUAUUAGGGUUUUUUAAAAGAGUUAGUGUAUGAUGGGAAAAAUGUGUUAUUAAUAUUAGAAUCUUUUCAACAGAAUAAUUUUUAGAAUUUAGAAUUUAUAAUAAGAAAUUAGAUUUUAGAAUUUUGAAUUCAUAAUGUUAAUUAAUAUAAAAGAUUGGUCAUGACAAUAGUAUUAAAACAAAUAAAAGCAUUUGGCGGCAAAAAAUUUGUGUAUGAUGAAUAAAACAUGCUAUUAAUAUUAGAGCGUCUAUGACAGAACAAUUUUGAGAAUUUAGAGUUCGUUAUAGAUAGAAUUCAUAAUUCAAAUUUCAAUUGCAUGCUUUUUUCUGCUGUAUAUAAAAAGUUCAAAUUAAGUGUUCCCGAUUUAUGAUCAAAGAAUGUUCUAUGGAUGUUUAAAUUAUUUUUUACUGUUUAAAUUAGUUUUACUGUGGCCUAAGUUAUUGCGCCAAAUGAUAAUUUACAAAAGUUCAACAUGAUGUUCAAACUUAAUUAUAUUCAGUACUGUGGUAACUCACGUUGAGAAAACUUUCGCGUGCUCAACAAAUGUUAUAAAUCAUAGGUGGAAUUAAUAUUAUGAUAUUUAUUAUUAGGAGAGGUUCAAAGUAUCAUUAACUUAAUCAUCAUUGGCUGAAUGAAAUUUUUAAUUCUUUUUUUUCAAAACAAAAUUGUACCGUAAUUUACAAACAUAGACAGAAUAUAAUUGUGGAAUCGCUCCAAUUUUUUUUAAAAAAGAGCUAUAUUUUUUGGGACUUUUUCUUAUUUAUUCCUUGACUAUUAUUCAAAAUUUUUAAAUUUAUCCUCUUGAAAUUACUAAAAUAUUUUUCUAAAUAACUCAAUUCCCACAGUAAAUCCUAGGAGAAAUAAGGAAAUUUGAUUUUUUUUUAAAGAAAAUCAGCAUAGAUAUUUUGGUCCUAAAACAAUUAUAAAGAGAGAAAUGAUUCAGUACUUUUUAAAAAAAAAAAUAAAAAAGAUCUUAACCGUUGAUUAAUAGAGGGUAAAAAUGUAACUUUAAUACUUAGCAGGUAAAAAGAUUAUUUUAUUCAAGGUUAGUUUGGUAAUUAAAUAAUACAAUAUUUAAAGAAAUUUUUAAUUGAGUUCCUAAAUUAAUGCAUUAAUUAGCACUAAUUUAGGAAAUUAAUUGAUUAACCAAAUUUAUGCAAUUAUUAGGCAUUAAUUUAGGAAUCUACUUUAAAUGUUUUAGUGUUUCUCAAAUUAUGCAUUAAUUUAAAUUAUACAAAUUUUUGAAAUAGUUUUAUUUCUAAAUACGAUGAAUUUAAAUUUUAAAAAUUAAAUACUUAAAAUUUAAAAGUGAAAUUUAAAUUAGAGGAAUUUCAUAUUACUAUUUAAAAACUAAAUUUCUACCAAGAUUUAAAAUACAGUUUAUUCGCACCAGUUUAAAACGUAAUGCAUAAAAAACUUAGAGAGUAAGAUUUCUACAACUAGAUUUCUCUAGAGAAAUUUCAUAUUACUAUUUAAAUUUUAAAUUCAAUAAUUUAAAAACUAGAUUGAACCGAUUAAUUUGAAUGAUCAGACUUUGACCUAUUCUAUCAAGAAUCUGAUUUUAACCUAUUGAACCGAAUAACAUUAAGAAUAAUUUGGAACCGGUAAAGAUAAUAAAUAUUUUAAACGGAAUGAUAAUUUAACUGUUAGAGCUAAUAAAUAUUUUAAAUAUAAUUUUAAAUAUAUAAAUUAAAAAGAUUAGAAUUAUUGGUGAGAAAAAAAAUAGUUAGGAAUUUGAAUUCGAAUCUGACUAACAAUCACAAAACUUAUUUUCGAACUCGACGGAUUUCAAAAAUCCAUAUCCAAAUUCAAAACUGACCAAUUUUCCGAAACCCAAAACCAAACCUAAACCAGAAGACUAGAAUUCAAACAAUUAUUUCUGUUAACCAUAUUUCAAAGUAUUUAUAUGAAACUUAAAUUUUUAAAAUAUAAAUUUGAAUAUAAUAUUAAAUUUUAAAUUUAAAAGUGAAAUUUAAAUUAGAGGAAUUUCAUAUAACUAUUUAAAGUUUAAAUCCAAUGAUCAUAUUGUCAAAUCAUUUGAAAUUUUCUUUAUAUGAAAUGCCAAAUUAUGAAAGGAAAGAUAGAGAGAGAAAAAGGAAAUAAAGAAAAAAUAAAAAAUUUGAAAAUAUAGCAGAUGUAAAAUGACUAAAUUGCCAAUGUAUUAAAAGACAAAAAUAUCCUUUUUUGAAGUACCUGGUAACCGGUACCUCUUCCAAAGUGACCUGCUAUUGCAGGUCACAAUUUUUAAAAAAUUAAAUCUGAGCCGUUGAAUACGUGUGAAUGAACGGUAACAAAAAAAAAAAAGUAUAGAAGCAUUACUCUUAUAAAGAAUGUUUGCGUCUACUUGGAGAAUGGCCUCCACAGUAAGACUAUGGGGAAGGAAAAAAUGUGAUCUCAAUCUCCACCAAAGCCUGCUCGAUUUGUUACAUGAUUGUCAUGAAUGCAUACAGAGAACACUUGUAAAGAAUGUUUGUAUGUACUUAGAAGUGGACUAAUAAAAACAACAUUUUUCUUAACAGUUCUGGAAUUUACUUUCUUCGAACAACCUUAAAAUUGUGAUAUUUGGAAUUUAAUGUGACGCAGUAAUUAGCCACGUAAUUGGUAUGAAUGCAUACAGAAAAUGCUUACAAAAAUAUUUGUAUACAGUUAGAGAUCUGCUAAUAAAAUUAAUGUUUUCCUUAACAACCCUGUGCUUUUAUUUUAUUUUUUUUAACAACUUAAGAUUGUGAUUUCUAAAAAUUAGUGCUACUCGGUACUAAGAAGGCUUUAAGAAAUAGUACCCAUUAAAUAUUUUUAGGAACAAAGGGGAAUUUAAAAAAUUAUAGAUUCAAAUUUUCAACACGAAAACUAAGUAGGUGCUUUUCAAUACUAAAUAAUUCUUGCAAUCUACUAAGUAUUAGAUGGGAUAGCAACAGAUCGCAACUUAUAUAUCAAAAUUAGGAAUGAAUUUUUUUUCGGGAAAGGAAAUAGGCAAGAAUAGUAGGAAAAGAAAAAGAAAGGAAUAAAGGGAAAAAAAAAAACUAAACAGGCUUGCCGAAAACCCCAAAAAGGUAAGGCUCAGUUAAGUCGGCAAAAAUGAUCACAAGCACAGGAUAGCAAUAGGAUCAAUACAUUACCGUAGGAGGAAGAUGUGUGCAACGACGAAGUAUCAGAACAGUAGGAACCGGUUGCCUAUGAAUAGGACGUCCAAACUUCCGCUUGUUUAAAACCAUCAUUUUCCACGUUUUUCUCUACUUAUCAUCGUCGCCUCAAGGAAGAGAUACAAAAAAAGCAAGAAACAGAUAGAAAUAAACAAAACCAAGUAGAAUUAAUAAAACAACAAUGUAUCGAAGCAGUCAACUCCAUCUAAAGCUGCCACAUUUAAUCACAAACAAAGAUAGGAAUAGCAUAUUUGAGUACAAUCAAUUAUCUGUAAAGCUGAGUCCAUCCAAAGCUACUACAUUUAAUGCCAAACAAAGAUACGAAAACCAGAUUUAAGUACAAAGGAACAUAUGUAAAACUGCUUCCCCACAAUAAUGCCAAACAAAGAUAUGAAAACCAGAUUUGAGUACAAAGGAAUAUCUGUACAACAGCUUCCCCACAAAUUAUCCAACAACCAAUCAGAAAUAAAAUAUCAGAGGAUCAUAUUUGGGCUACCAACUAAAUUAUAGAGUAGUAGAACAGCGAGUUGAUCGAUAAUGAUGGUUACCUGUGGAGUCAUCUAUUAUGCAUGAUUUAAGUGAUGCAUGGUAAGAUUGAUCUAAUGGCUAAGAAGGUUAUAACACAUGAACAGUUUCAUACUUUUAAAACAUUCUACUUCUUAUGCAAUAAGAUCAGCCAACAUCAAUCCUAAUUGAACAACUAUAACACAUUCAUAUUGAUUAAGGAUCACAUAUCGGCAACUGGCUGCCCAUAGACAGACCAUCCGAACUUUCCUCAUCAUUAGGGUUAGUCUAGUGCAGUCCAGGAUAUCAGUAUUGAACUAUCUUUGAUCAACAUAGAAAGCAGAGCUAUUGACUUGACAAAAUCCAACUCUAGAGAAUUAUUUAGAAAAGGCAGCAUAUUCACAUCAUCUGAAACAAAAAAAUAUAUAUCAAUGCAAGCAACUGGUUGCCACAGACGGACCAUCCGAAGUUUCCUCGUCAUUAGGGUCAAUAAUAAGAUAAAAAAAAAAUUAACCGAAGUUAGUAUAAGGUGGGGUUACUCUGAAGAAGUCAUAGAAGAAAUCCUUGGAAAAGCAAUAGGGGCAUGGAAAGUUUCAGUUUUGAUCAAGAAAAGUAAACCGAAAUUAGUAUAAGGUGGAGUUACUUUGAAGAACUCAUAGAAGAAAUCCUUGAUAAAAGCAAUUGGGCAUGGAAAGCUUCAGUUUUUCAGUAGCCACAGCCCACAUCUCUGCCUCAGAACUUAGUAAAACCUGAAUAUUUAUAUUGUUAUCCCUAUCUACAGAUGCAGAGAGCUUCAAUUGAUUAUAUAAUGUCAAGUUUGUCUCUGGGGAAGAGCUUCAAUUGAUUUUGGAGCUUCAAUUUAACAGGAUAAUCUACAUAAGUAACCUUUCCCUUUUGUGUCAAAUAACCUAAGGCACAUUCUAUGUAAAUGAUACCAUCCACACCAAAAAACAGUAUCUAAGGCAUAUAUAAAAUAAACUUCGUAAGAAUUUUCAGACAUCUUUCAGUCAAGUAAUUUUCUAAAACCUUCACAUUUAUCAUGUUAGUCCCAGUUACACUUGCAGAGAGAGUCAAAUAUUUAUAGACUGAGAAAUGAAAAUUUGGCGAAUACUUCGAUGUUAUGUUGGAAACCAGCUAAUAUGAUAGGAGCCUACAAAUUUGUGGCUCAUGGACUAAAAGCCUACAAUCAACCUUAAGAUAUAGGUCGAGGAAGGGACAAUGGAAACCAAGGGUUGGUUGCCGAGAAAUUAGUCCACCCAAAACUCCGUUUUUCCAUUUUUUUCCCAUCCUUACCACCUCAAAAGCCAGCAGGAGCAAAAUCUUAAAGGAAGUCCAGACCAUCCAAGAGUUGGUUGCCUAGCAACAAAACUAUCCAAACCUCAUUUAUCUUUUUUUUUAAUAUCAUCACAGCCCCAAAGAACAGAAGCAAGGAAAAAUGGAUAACACAACAGCAAGCAAAAUGUUAGAAGAGGUCUGUCCCAAAAUUUGAUGCUUUGUAAUUCAGCUCAUGCACCGAUUUUAUAAUUCAGUUCAUGCAUCGAAAACAACAGCCCAAAGUCUAAAGGACAUACAGGUACACAUGUGCACGCACACACAUAUAAAGAGAAACAUGUUGUAAUUCAGCAAUAAAAACAUAGGGAACAAAGAGAAACAUGUUAUAUUUCUUUGUGUGUGUGUGAAUGAGAGAGUCAGAGAGAGUGAGAGCAACAAUAAAAACAUAGCUAACAAUAAAAACACAGGGAAUAUAUAGAGAAAAAUUUAAAAGUAAAAAAAUGUAUGGAGGCUCAGAUUUUGUUGUGAUCCAUUUGUUUUCGAUGAUCGAGCCUUCAAAUCGACGAUCGGCAUUGUCGAACAUAAUUUAUACCACUUGAAGCAUCUAAAAAUCAAAUUUCAUGUCUUUUCGAUAUUGUUCUCUUUUCCAUUAAGUGAAUACAAAAACGAACGGCUGAAAAUGAAUAUCCUUUAAACAGUAAUGAUAGGAGUUUUGUAAUCAAAAUCAAGAGUAUAGAUUUUAUUUUAAAUAUUUUAAAGAAUUUUUUAAUCAAAGUUCAACUGAUUUAGAUAUCUUUACACCAUUAAACGAGAAACGUCUCAUAUCGACCGUUAAAAUUAUAAAUCUUGAAACUCUUUGAUCAUUAGACCAAUGAUGAUGAAAAGAUUUAAAAUUUUCAUGUUUCUAGAUACUUCUAGUAGUAUAGAUCAUAUUCAACGAUGCCGAUCAUUGAUUUGGAGAUUCAAUCAUCGAAGACAAAUGAGUGGCAACGGAGCUCGUUUGCUAUCGAUAGCAUUCCAGCUCAACUCUUUCUCUCUCUAUAUAUAUAUAUGAAUUAAGUUAUUAUUGAAUAACUUAAAUUGAUAUCUUUUAUCUAUCAAAUACUAUGUUUUUGAGUAAAUCUAAAAGAUAUGUUGGGCAAGAACUUAUGCCUUCGAAAAAGACUUUAGAAUUUUAAGAGGGUGUGAGCUAAUAAAGGGCCCUCUACACAGUGAGUUUCUAGCAUUAAUUAAUUUAAUUAAUAUAAAUAUAAAUCUCAUGAUUCUACAAUGUUGUGGGAUGGGCUUUAACUUUUAAAGCAUAAACAAGAUGUAAAUAGAGAGGAGGAUUUCUUAAAUUCAUAGAGAAAAAUGAAUUAUAAUAAUAUAAUAAUAUUUUUCUCCUAAGUCAAAAUCGUAUUUGCAUAAAUUUGUUCGGAUAUCUAUAUCUAUCGGCAUCUCGAACUUUCUAGUGAUGUUAUCAAUUGAACAUAUUUUGAUGUUGCUCGAUAAAUUUACUAAAUCUAAGGGCUUGUUUGGUUCAAGAGUGGAAUUGGAAUGGAUAAUGGAAUGGAAAUGAAUUGAAAUGGUAAUUGAAUUGCCCCACUUCCCUAAGACGUUUGGUUCAUUUCUGGAUUGAAAAUCGGAAUGAAUUAUUCAUAUUUCACCCUUUGGUUGAUACAAAGUAAAAAUAAUAGAAUAACACAAUACUAAUUUUGCUUUCAAAUAUAAUUUUAUAAAACUAUCUAAAAUUUAUAUAUAAAUAAAAAUUAAUACUACUCUCAAGUUAGAGCUAUGCAAAAAAAAAAAUUUAAUUUAUUUUAAAAAUUUGUAUGCAGGAAAUUACAAAAAAAAAAGCAUUAAUUUUUUGAAUAAAAUUAUAAUAAAAAUAAUGUAACACGUUUUUUUUUAAUACUAAAAAAAAAAGGACAGAGAAGAAAAAGGAUGGAUAAAAUAGAAAAAUAUUGGGUUGGACCUAAGGAAGAGGUAAGUGCGGGCUUGAAAUUGGCAUUUCAAUCCGGGCUUGGAAACCGGAAUUAAUUUGUAUUUCGAUUUGGAAUGGAAGUCUCAAACCGAUUCCUGUGAACCAAACAAAAUUAGCUGGAUUUGAUCAAACCGUUCCCAUUCCGGAUCUAAAAUGUACGAAUCAAACAUGCCUAAUUGUGAAUUAGAUUUAAAGAGUUCCAAAAAGUUCGAGGACUAUAAUAAGAUAUCUCUAAAAGUCCGGGGAGUAAUGUGCAAUUUACUCUUCUUCGACAAACCCAACUCUCCCGCUCUUUGAAGCACCGCGCCAUUUCCCCCCCCCCCUCUCUCUCUCUCUCUCUCUCUCUCUCGCUCCGCUUCGUCUCUGCGAAAAUGGCGGAGAUAUCUCUCGCCUAUAUCUCUCGCCUACAUCUCCCGAUACUCGAAGCUCUCGAAAACCCUAGGCAGGUGAUCUCCUAUCCCUUUCUUAGGGUUUUUUUUUAUUUUUUAUUUUUUAAUUUCUGUUGAUGGAGUGAUCGGAACAAAGAAGUUUCACGUUUUUUUUCUUUUCGGAUUUUUGUAUGUGGUUCUUGUAAAUUCAGGGAUUGUGUGCAUUUUUUGUGCAAUUCAUAAUAUUCUGGUUUUGUAAUUGGUUCCUGUUAUUGUUCUUGCCUUUUUUUCUUUUUUUUUUUUGAUUUUUUUUGGGUAAAAAGUGUUUUGGAAUUGGUCUCUGAUUUUGUGAUUUUGUGAAUUCUAGUUUUGAAGGGAGAUUAUUUUGUGAUUUUGUGAAUUGUGGUUGAAAAUUCUAUUUGUUAAUCCACUUAAAUCUCUCUCGUAUGCAUUAGUUUUUAUGGAACUUGUGAACUGUUCCACACUUGUGGUACCAAGAAACAGAUCUCGAUGAUCUUGUUGGAGAUUUCAAUUUGGUUUCAUAGAUAUUAAUAUAUAGUUGGAUGAUAAUGGUACAAUUAAGAUUCUUUUUACGUACAAAAUCUUGCGCACCACUGUAGUAAAUUAAUAGCUACGGGACGAAACUCACCCAACUAGGGUCAGAUUUGAACAUAAAUGUCACAACCAAUAGUAGAUCAAUGCGAGAUCAUGAAAAAUAUAAUUCAAUAGAGGAAAGAAUGCACACUGAAUAUAGCACAUAUGGACUAUUUUAUCAAUAGAUUCAUUAUAUUUCAUUGAAUUAUGUAGAAACAGAGUAAAUUAUGACUUCACAAAAUAACAUGAUUUGUAUGUCAAUAUGUUGUCUAUCUGCUGUACCAGUAUUCGAAUAUAGAUUGUCGGAUUAGCACUUCAGCUUAAACCAGAAUCUGCAUGACUAUGUGGUGAUCCCAACGAUUCAUGCAAUAUAUGCCCAACUGAGUUUAUACAAUAAGAGUACAAUAAGAAAGCAAGAUCUUUUUUUCUUUUUCUUUUUUUUUGAGAGAGAAGAAAGCAAGAUCUGACAUAUGAUGUAUAGCUGGCUUUUAGCCUAUAAGUUGCUUUUAACUGAAGCUUUCUGAAGGAGAGAAAGGGCAUAAAGGUAGGAAGACAAAUUACCAAUAUGUUAAGGCUAUUGGAGAAAGAUCUUGCGGUGGCUAGCGGUCCUGGAUGAUGACUCUCACAGGAUGCGUCCUGCGCCAGUCAUUAAUCUCCUCCACGAAACUAGAGGGCAUCUUAUUACAUUUUAGAACUUGUAAGGUGGUGAUGUGAUUCAGACCAUUCGGAACCCCAUGCAGAUUGACGCAACAAUGGAUAGACAAGCGUAUAAGAUUUGGAAAGGAUCCGGGCUCAAUGUUGAGCAGUGCUACAUGAGAUAGGUUGCUGAGCUCAAGGUAAGAUAAAUUUGGGAAGCUGCCUGGAGAACAAGAAAUCUCUCGACAUUGGCAAGCAUUAUCUGUCACUUUGAGAAUCCUGAGUUUUUUUAGCUGCCCUAGUAUUUGUGUUGGCUCUCCUUUCAAGUUUGAGUGAGACAAUGUGAGCUCAGUGAUGUGAGGUGCGAAAUUUUCGAUACCGCAGAGUUUAUCGGGUUGCAAUGUUCCAUCUAACUUUAACUUAUGUAACUUUCCAUGAGUUGAUGUUGCUGUAAAAACCUCUUGAGGGAUCUCCUUGGCUUGUAAUGUUAGAGAGUUCAGACUACUUAACAACUUAAGACACCCAACCAAUUUGCUGUUGGUAGUUUUUGGAGUAUUGCGAUCAGCAUCUAUUUUAAGGGUUUGGAGAUUAUGCGGUGGCAUGCAAGACAUCCUGACACUUUUAGCAGAAGCAGCUUCUGAAAGAGUCUGCAUGUUUCUCAAUGCUUGUGAGUCCAGAAAACUCAUUGAAUUCAAGUAUAAGUGGCGAAGCUCUGAAAGCGUCCAAAUUUCAGAUGGCAACUCUAUGAUGAAUGUACCUCUUAUAUCUAGAGUCUGCAGAUGUGGAGGAAUCCCUUCGGAAAAUGGUAACGUUGCAAAAUUGGUAUUUCUCAAUCCCAGGUAUCUCAAUCUAGUCAUAUCUUUUAUAGGAAAAUGACAAAUGCUAUCUGGUUUUAGUCCCUCUAGUUCGAGCACUCUGAGGAAUUCCAUGCUUGUCUUAGGCUGAUAAAUGAAUGGAUAAAAGUUGAAGAAAUUUGAUAACCACUUUUGGAUCCGUCCUUUACUAUUAGUAAAGAUUUGGUUUAUUCUGCUUGCGGGGAAAACUAAAAGAGCUCUUGAUUUUUCACACAGAACUUGAGGUAAUCUCGCAGGGCUCUGAUGGAGUGCCAAACGACGUGAAGCUAUCUCCCGGGGCUUUGACUCUGCGUUGACGGGAUUUAGAUUUGCUACCUGAAGGAAUCGACUCUCUCUUGCUUCGGACUUUGCUAGCUCACCCAAGAGGUCGUGGACUCUUACCUUUUUUAUACUCAUAUCAGGUCCUCGCUUCACUAUUUCAACUAGGCACCUUUGUGCCAACUCCUCCAUGUAGUUGCUUGCAGUACCCUCUAGUGUUAUACCUUCUUCUUUGGGUAUCAGAUCAUCUCCGAUCCACAACUUCGUUAAUUUUGAGGCACUGAUGUCAGAAUCUUGUGGGUAAGCUCCCAAGUAAAGAAAACAAAAUUUCAUGCGGUAAGGCAAAUCGUAGUAGCUCAAAGCAAGGAUUUCUAAGCAUUGCUUCCCAUCAUCUGUUGAAUCCCAGUUCAUAUUACCAAGUAAUUUCGACCACACCAAUGGAUGCUUCAGUUUUGUCGAAACAAGACCUCCCAGUACCACCAGAGCAAGAGGCAAACCAGCACAUUUCCUGCAGAGCUGACGCCCCAAGUCCUCGAGUCCUCUUGGGCAUAUAGGUUGGUCGUUCGGAGUUAACUGUGGAAAAACUUUUGUAAGGAAAAGUCGCCAACUAUCGUCCUCGUUUAAGGGCCUCAUUUCGUAGGGUUCAGAACCUGGGUCAUGAUAAAUGGCAACAUCCUUGAAUCGAGUUGUUACUAUUAUUCUACUUCCAUUGCUCGAAUUUGGAAGAGCUGCUUUUAAUUGAUCCCAUACUUCUUUCCUCCAGAUAUCAUCCAACACUAUUAGGUAUCUCCUCUGCUCCAAAAACGAAUAUAGCUUCUCCGUUAAGAACUGGACCCCCCAGCUCCUCGCACGAUAAAUUACAUAUUCCUUAGCUUCCACAUAUUCGCUUAAGCCUAGUUGGUCAAUCAUGAUCAACAAAAGGUCCAUAAUGUUGGGAUCUUGAUGAACAGGCACCCAAGCACAAGCAUCAAAGUGGUUUUGAAGCUCACCUCCGGAGUUCGCUUCUUUAAGCUGGGCAAAAUGGGCAUGACCGCGUACGGGAGCUUUAGAAAAUAAUUUAUAAACCACAGCCGCAAGAGUGGUUUUGCCUGCACCACCCAUCCCGGUGAUGGCUACAACCUGUCGACGUCUCUCGUAGUGAAGCAACCUCUCCACUAAUGCUCAGGCAUAAAUGUUCGAAACCGACAACCACAUCAUCACCAAGGUCUGCAAAUGACCGUCUCCAUGGAUGCAAAUGACCUUGAUCUGCAGCUGUACUAGUGCUGCUUCCUUUGCCUCUUUGCUCGUGCAAUUUAGGUAC
rnacentral:lncRNA from 1 species